rnacentral:rRNA from 1 species
AGGGCUGCAGUAUAUUGACUGUACAAAGGUAGCAUAAUCAUUAGUCAUUUAAUUGAUGACUUGUAUGAAGGAUUUGAUGAAAUAUAAACUGUCUCUUAUUUGAUUAUAAAAUUUAAUUUUUUUAUUAAAAAGUUAAAAUAUAUUAAAAAGACGAGAAGACCCUAUAGAGUUUAAUAAGUUAUUAAAUUGAGAUUAUGUGUAAAUUAAAUUUGAAAUUGAGUUAUUUAUUUUGUUGGGGUGACAAAAAAAUAUAUUAAACUUUUUUUUAUUUAAAAACAUUUAUAAGUGGUUAAAUGAUCCAAUAAUGUUGAUUAUAAGAAAAAAUUACCUUAGGGAUAACAGCGUAAUUUUUUUUUUUAGUUCAAAUAAGAAAAAGAGUUUGCGACCUCGAUGUUGGAUUAAGAUAAAAUUUAAA